UACGUAGGGGGCUAGCGUUGUCCGGAAUCAUUGGGCGUAAAGAGCGUGUAGGCGGCUCGGUAAGUCCGCUGUGAAAGUCCAGGGCUCAACCCUGGAAUGCCGGUGGAAACUGUCGAGCUAGAGUCCGGAAGAGGCGAGUGGAAUUCCUGGUGUAGCGGUGAAAUGCGCAGAUAUCAGGAGGAACACCAAUGGCGAAGGCAGCUCGCUGGGACGGUACUGACGCUGAGACGCGAAAGCGUGGGGAGCAAAC
rnacentral:rRNA from 1 species